rnacentral:misc_RNA from 13 species
UUCCCCUGAGCUUGGUUGGUUGGUAUUGCUGUUGUCAGCAGUCAACAAUAAAUCCAAUUAGCAAAAAGAUAGGAAAAGUCGAAAUGGUUCAAGGUAAGAACAGCAACCAAAUUAUGCACGAUAAACUGAAUUUUGGCCAGUUUCAAUUGCAAGCGAGGCAAAAGAUUGGUAAUAACUGGGAAUACCUAUCUAAUAACUAUCAUAAUAUGCCACCAAUCAAGUAACAAAUUGAUUAUUUAUGCAAUUGAAAGUGAAAUGGGCAAAGGGACAUGCUAAAUUGAUAGUGAUGAAGGUUGAACUAGUAGUUCUUCCGCUGUUCCUUGUGAAUAUGUACCUUACUUCUUGACCUUAUCGGGAAGACGACUCACCUCUUGUUGUUGGCAUUUAAUUGACAUUGGCCACCGGUUCGCUUCAAAACAGAAGAAAAAAGAAGGAACCCCCGAGUGCCCUCCACCCGCAAGUCACAUCCGAUUAUCCAAAUUGCUUGUCCAAAGAAUUUUGUCCAUUCCAUUUCGCUGCUGUCACUCGAAAUCAAUAAAUAAAAUGGUAAUUUGCAUUUGAGAUAGUGAGUUCUAGUGGUCUAUUUUAAAACGAUGGCCUUUAUUUGCCCUUUGUUUAAAGCCCAAUAAUUAGCCUUAGAAUGUUUACAUCCUGUUUAAAUUGCAUUUGCAAAACAUUUUGCGUGCUUUUCAAAUCUUUUUCAGCACGUUUAUAGCUAAUAACAUUCGGGAUUAUUACUUGAUUUUUCAGUUGGCUGCGCGUAGUUUUGAAAGUACGCAGCUGAAAAUGUAUAUACUUUUAGAUAAUCGCACAACAAAAUAUAAAAUGAAUACAUUCAUUCAUCUUCAGUGAGAUGCAUAUGUUUUGAAAAUUCUAACGAACAAUCUUCCCACCUUGAAGUGAACCUUUCAACUUCAACUUCAACAUAGGGCUGUGCAAUUUUAGUUUGCUGGGUGCCCAUUCACUUAAAUGUCAGAUAGGCACCAGGCAGAAGCCAUAGCAACUGUUCUAGCACACCUACGCACACACACACACACGGACGGACGCACAUACACACAUCUGGACCUGUACACCUACGGCCCCGGAAAAUUAUCCAUAGAACAACCGCCGACUGACCCCGCCUCGUUUUUCCGAUUUCCCCCAUUCCGACCAGGUCAUAGACGACGUGCCGCCACCCCACGCCAAUCACCCCCCUCGCCACAAAAAACAAAAAAAAAAAAAAAAAAAACGUCGGACGACAGCCGCGUCGCCUUCACAUCAUCCAGCCAUGACCAGCGGCGGCAAUCGAUGAUUGCCAUUCCCUCAGCCAACGAGAGCCAAUAGAGGCAGCCGGAAAGGAGGACGCCCCGGAAUAGUCAGUCGGUACCGUGUCGGAAGAGUCCGCCAUUCGCAGAACGUCAAUAGCCGGAGGGGAGUCCGCCAUUUCAACGACAAGGACCCAAGUCACGCGGUGUCAACAUGCUGAUCAAGGAGUACCGCAUUCCGCUGCCCCUCACCGUCGAGGAGUACCGCAUCGCCCAGCUCUACAUGAUUGCGAAAAAGAGUCGCGAGGAGAGUCAUGGCGAGGGCAGUGGCGUUGAGAUAAUCAUCAAUGAGCCGUACAAGGAUGGACCCGGCGGAAAUGGUCAAUACACGAAGAAGAUCUACCAUGUGGGCAAUCAUCUGCCUGGCUGGAUUAAAAGUCUCUUGCCGAAAAGCGCUUUAACCGUUGAGGAGGAGGCAUGGAAUGCCUAUCCGUAUACCAGGACUCGCUACACCUGUCCGUUUGUGGAGAAGUUCUCGCUGGACAUUGAGACAUACUACUAUCCGGACAAUGGCUAUCAGGACAAUGUCUUCCAGCUGUCCGGUAGCGAUCUGCGUAAUCGUAUCGUAGACGUGAUUGACAUUGUCAAGGAUCAGCUGUGGGGCGGUGACUAUGUGAAGGAGGAGGAUCCCAAGCACUUUGUGUCGGACAAGACGGGCCGCGGACCCUUGGCCGAGGAUUGGCUGGAGGAGUAUUGGCGCGAAGUGAAGGGCAAAAAGCAGCCGACACCGCGCAACAUGUCCCUGAUGACCGCCUACAAGAUCUGCCGCGUGGAGUUCCGCUACUGGGGCAUGCAGACGAAGCUAGAGAAGUUCAUCCAUGAUGUGGCGCUGCGCAAGAUGAUGCUGCGUGCCCAUCGGCAGGCGUGGGCAUGGCAGGACGAGUGGUUCGGCUUGACCAUCGAGGAUAUACGCGAGCUGGAGCGGCAGACGCAACUGGCCCUGGCCAAGAAGAUGGGCGGCGGCGAGGAGUGCAGCGACGACAGCGUCUCGGAGCCGUAUGUCAGCACGGCGGCCACCGCCGCCUCCGCAACGGGCAGCGAGCGAAAGAAGUCCGCUCCGGCUGUGCCGCCUAUUGUCACCCAGCAGCCGCCGAGCGCCGAGGCCAGUUCGGAUGAGGAGGGCGAGGAGGAGGAUGACGACGAGGACGAGAACGAUGCCAUUGGCACGGGCGUGGAUCUGUCUGCCAAUCAAGGCGGAUCUGCGCAGCGCUCGCGCUCCCAAAGUAUUCAGAUGGCCCAGAAGGGCAAGUUCGGGUCAAAGGGCGCCCUGCACUCGCCGGUGGGAUCUGCCCAUAGCUUUGAUCUCCAGUCCAAAAAGCCGCAUGCAAAGACAGCGCCACGCAGACAUGUGGCUAACUGGCGCAUGGAGCGAUUGGAAGUGGACUCCAAAUCCAAUUCGGAUGAGGAAUUCUUUGAUUGCCUGGACACCAACGAGACGAACUCGCUGGCCAAGUGGAGCUCGCUGGAGCUGCUGGGCGAGGGCGACGACAGUCCGCCGCCACAUGGCGGACCCUCUAGUGCAGCAUCGGUGGGUGGGCGUGGCAGCUCGCGGCAAGAGGACAGCAUAUUCAAUCAGGACUUUCUGAUGCGCGUAGCCUCGGAGCGCGGCAACAAGCGACAGUUACGCUCCUCGGCCAGCGUGGAUCGCAGUCACGAUUCAUCGCCGCCGGGAUCACCGAGCACACCGUCGUGUCCCACAACCAUUCUCAUUCUGGUUGUCCAUGCGGGCAGCGUUUUGGAUGCGGCCAGCGAGCUGACCGCCAAGAAAUCCGAUGUGACCACAUUCCGUGGCUCCUUCGAGGCGGUGAUGCGACAGCACUAUCCCAGCCUCCUCACCCAUGUGACCAUCAAGAUGGUGCCGUGCCCCUCAAUAUGCACCGACGCCCUGGGCAUUCUCUCCAGCCUGAGUCCGUACUCCUUUGAUGCGUCGCCCUCGGCGGCGGAUAUACCGAAUAUAGCCGAUGUCCCCAUUGGAGCCAUACCACUACUAUCCGUGGCAUCGCCAGAAUUCCACGAGACGGUCAACAAGACGGUUGCCGCUGCCAAUAUUGUCUACCAUGAGUUUUUGAAAUCGGAGGAGGGUCACGGAUUCUCCGGCCAAAUUGUCAUGCUGGGCGAUUCGAUGGGCUCGCUGCUGGCGUACGAGGCCCUCUGCCGAUCGAAUGGCAGCCAGCCGGGCACGGCUUCGGGUGCCUCGAAUUCCGGCGGAGAUGCGGCCACAAAUAUAAACACCCACAAUCCGUUGAGCGCUCGUAAUUCGCGAUUGGACGACGACGAGCGUUUCAUCGAAGCCGAUCUGGAUGCCAAGCGUUUGCUGGUGGCCCCAUCGCCACGUAGACGCCGUUCCAGCUCCUCCAGCGAUUCGCGGGCCACCAAAUUGGACUUUGAGGUCUGUGACUUCUUCAUGUUCGGAUCGCCGCUGUCUGUGGUGCUGGCUGCUCGGAAACUUCACGAUGCCAAGGCCGCCCUGCCGCGGCCCAACUGCCACCAGGUCUACAAUCUGUUCCAUCCAACCGAUCCGAUCGCCUCGCGCCUGGAGCCGCUACUGAGCGCCCGGUUUUCUAUAUUGGCGCCAGUCAAUGUCCCACGGUACGCCAAGUAUCCGCUGGGUAAUGGCCAGCCAUUGCAUUUAUUGGAGGUCAUUCAGUCGCAUCCGCAGCACUUUAACGAUGGCAACAACCUAUUGGCUGGUCGCCGUUUGUCGGACGCAUCCAUGCAGAGCACGAUAUCGGGUCUGAUUGAGAAUGUCUCGCUUAGUACGAUCCAUGCCCUGCAAAACAAAUGGUGGGGCACAAAGCGCUUGGAUUUCGCAUUAUAUUGCCCGGAGGGAUUGAGUAACUUCCCUGCUCAUGCCUUGCCGCACCUCUUCCAUGCCAGCUACUGGGAGAGUCCGGAUGUGAUUGCCUUUAUUCUACGGCAGAUUGGCAAAUUCGAGGGCAUACCCUUUGUGGGCUCCAACGAUGACAAGGACAAUGCCUCCUUCCAUCCCGGACAGCCGAGGGAGAAGUGGAUCAAGAAACGGACCUCGGUUAAGCUGAAAAAUGUGGCCGCCAAUCAUCGGGCCAACGAUGUGAUCGUGCAGGAGGGCAGGGAGCAGCGCUUGAAUGCGAGAUUUAUGUACGGACCCCUCGACAUGAUCACGCUGCACGGUGAAAAGGUGGAUGUGCACAUUAUGAAGGAUCCGCCGGCGGGCGAGUGGACAUUCCUCAGCACCGAGGUGACGGACAAGAACGGUCGCAUCUCGUACAGCAUUCCGGAUCAGGUAUCCCUUGGCUAUGGCAUAUAUCCGGUUAAGAUGGUGGUCCGUGGCGAUCACACCUCGGUGGAUUGCUAUAUGGCGGUGGUGCCGCCGUUGACCGAAUGCGUGGUCUUCAGCAUUGAUGGCUCCUUCACCGCUUCGAUGUCGGUGACGGGCAGGGAUCCCAAGGUGCGUGCCGGAGCUGUCGAUGUUUGCCGCCACUGGCAGGAGCUGGGCUACCUGCUCAUCUACAUCACCGGACGACCGGAUAUGCAGCAGCAACGCGUGGUGUCCUGGCUGAGCCAGCACAACUUCCCGCACGGCCUGAUCUCGUUCGCCGACGGCCUGUCCACCGAUCCAUUGGGCCACAAGACGGCCUAUCUCAACAAUUUGGUUCAGAACCAUGGAAUCUCAAUUACUGCCGCCUACGGCAGCAGCAAGGACAUUAGUGUCUACACGAAUGUUGGCAUGCGAACCGAUCAAAUCUUCAUCGUGGGCAAGGUUGGCAAGAAGCUGCAGUCGAAUGCCACCGUGCUUAGCGAUGGCUAUGCCGCCCACUUGGCCGGUUUGCAGGCUGUGGGUGGUUCGCGUCCGGCGAAGGGCAAUGCCCGCAUGGUCAUUCCCCGCGGAUGCUUCAAUCUUCCCGGCCAGACCGCGAAUCCGCGGCGCAGAAGCAACGAGACAGGACUCUCAUCACCCAUACGCAGUGGUUACCUGAAGCGCAAGACCUACCUGAGCCACCACUAGAGCAGCAGAGAUGCAGAUACAGAUGCAGCUAUAUAGAUCGAUCCAUCAGAUAGAAGUCCUCAGAACCCCAAUAGAACUCCCUUCGAUAUAGCGAAAAAAAAUAUAUAGAGCCAAUGGACAACAAGACCGAUGCCUCCAUAUGCCACAUCUGUGUAUAUACCAUAUAAAUAUAUAUUUAUAUACUAUGCGCGAUAUAUUGAAAGUUUAAUGGUGUAAUAUAUACAUAUAUCAAAUACCAAAAUUUGCAAAUGAGAAAAAAACAAUUGUACAACAUUUAACAAAAGUCAAAUGUGUCACGCGGUGAGUAUGCAUAUAAAGCACAGAUUCUAAUAUUAUAUCUAUAUUCGAAAAUCAACUAGUUAUAGUUACUGAAGUUACUCUGAAGUAGAUAGAAAUUAUGAGCAGCGGUGCUGGAAAUGUCUGGUGACUUCAAAAUCGCCUAAAUGGGUGUCUAAAAGUAUGCAAUACUUUAUUUUAUCCCCUAUGUGCAGUGUACUUUUGAACAUCCUGCCGAAGGAUUGGAAGUUGCCAGGGAAUUUAGUGGCAGCCGUACCUGGAAAGAAAGACUGUUUCCUCCUGUUGUUUGAUGGUUUUCCAAACCACUUAAAGCAUAAAACAAACAUUGAAAACUACACGAAACAAAAGCCGAUCGCAAAGCUAUAUACUAAAUACAAUUAUAAAUGAUAUAUACAGAGAUAUAUUCGAAAUAUAGAACCGUUUAACAUAUGCAAGUGAACCAAGUUCAGCCAACCAAGUGAGUUACAACAACCGAAGGACAAACUACCGAAACCGAAGAUCUCCCAAUGAUUAAUGAUACCCACUGGAAGAGGAGCGAGGAGCGAGGAGCGCGGAUGGAGUUGCAAAUCAAAAAAAAGGCAAAUUUAAUGCAUUUCUCGAGAAACAACCACUACAAAAGUAUAAAUGAACGGCUUCCGUAAACCGAAUUAAAACCUAAAAGUAGAUAUAUGUAUCUAUGUGUAUGUGCGUGUAAAAUUGACAAAAAUACAAAUAAUCGGUUCUUAAGAAAAAAACCUAAAUGUAAAAACUUCUUGAAAUUGAAUACAAUCUCUUAACUGGCCCCAGAAAUUUCAAAUCUCCAUAAUUGUGAUAGUCUUUCGCUACCAAAAGUUAUUUAAAAAGAUGAUGAAACAGCAAAUUAUAUAUUUAUCUCUACUAAAAUUGUUAUUCGAAAAGGAAAGACAUUUCGGAAUGAAACAAAACAAAAACAUAAACUAUUGGAUAUUGUGUAAACGUGAAACCCGAUUUUGUGAUACCAAAACUAGAACCGAAACCAAAAACCAAAGUUGAGUUCGAAUUGAGGCGCGAUCAAGCCGAAAACUUAAAAACCUAUGCAAACAACUCAAGGCGACCUGAAGAUUAACGGGCAUUGAAUCUGACCCAUAUAGUAAUACAUAUAUAUAUAUAUAUACAUCUCUAGGGUAUAUAUAAUACCACAAUGUAUGCAAAACCCCAAUUAUGGGCUGUCCACGCAAGUUAACUAAAAUCUCUCACACACAUCUUGUAAGCUAAAGAAAACGCUAAACAGAAUUGAAGGUACACUUGGGACCUUAAGAAUAGAAAAGAUAUAUGGAUAUAUUGAUAUAUAUGUGUAUGUCAUCUGUCUAAUCUGUUCGAUCCGUUUAGGUUUACCUAAGCCAAAGUUAGUUGAGUUAGGCGAUUAAGAUACUUCCUAAACUGAAAAGUAAACGCAAGUUAAAGAGUUUAAAUCGAUAGUUGUAAUGAGAGCAGAGUAAUUGUAUGUAAAGAUGAAUAUAUACCUAAAGCAUAUACUGUAUAUUUAUAUAGCGCAACUACCAAUUAAGGUCUUUUCAAGCUUGCUAACUGAAAAAGUGUUCCGAUUAAAGUAUUGUCCGGCUAUACGUUCCUCUAACCUCCAGUUCAGUCGAUUUUUAGCUAUAUUUCAUUUCAAUUAUCCUUUGUAGCAAGUAUUAAACUGCAAACUGAUGGAAGAUCUUGUAGAGUUUAAGAUGAAUCUCGACCUAUGAAAUGUUUAUCCUAUAUAAGUGAGUAGUUCAAGGUUUAAGAACGAGGUAAAACGAUGUUUAGAUGAAAGUCCUAUUAAAUAACACACCAGAUACUCAUAGAGUCAAAGGGUUUAUGUCUGUCUACGUAGCUGGUACAUUAAGGGCAUUUUUGCUAUACAUUUUCUAUAAGUCCACGCCGACUUCCUUUCCAACUAGAUCUAUGUACUAUUUGUAAAUGAAUAAUGCGUUCAACUUCUCAGAAUAGCAAAUUUGAGCUUAUCUUAUGUGUUUAAAACGGCUCCAUAUCACUUUAUUUUUGCGAGAGAUAAUCGUUGUUUGUUUCGGAAAUUGGAAUUAUCUUUUAGUUUCGUCUAUUGUUUGAUAUAAACUCCCCACCUAAAGCAGAAAUAAGCUGCGGAAAUAGAACUGGAAAACUCAAACGGAUUCAGAUUUCACACAAUGGCAUAUUAGUGCUUGCUCUACGUGUUUCUAAUAUUUCAUAACGAUCGGUUGAUUUAUUCUUGAUUUAUCUUUGCAAUUAAUAGAACAUCUAUGUACCUACAUUUUUCUCCUCCAUCGCAAUAAGAAAUCCCAAAGCCAAUAAAGCGUCGAGCGAAAUUGCAUUGAUAUUUUGAGAACCCACCAUUUAGAUGAUAAGCUAAAAACCCCAAACUCAAAACGACGAUGACUAAUGCAGAAAAUAUAAUCAAACAAAAAUCUGAAAACAAUACAUAAGAAAAUACAUACAUUGUUAUGUAUUUUAAUUGCGAGUCUUAAGUGCAAAAGUCCAGGAAUAACGAAUACGCAUUCAGAUUGUAAAGAAUUCUAAGAAGAGCGAAGCGAAAAUCGAACAAAUUAUGAAAUUAUUUAUUGACAAAAAAAUCUACAAACCGAUGAACAAAACAAAAAAAAUGAGGAGCAAGCCAAAUGCAAUCUAUUUACAAAAUCCUAAAAAAAGCAAAGCAAGAAUUACAAACCAAACAAAUUAAGCUGAGCUGAUUCCACGAAAAUGGAUAUAUAUAUAUAUAGAUAUAUAAUAUAAAACUACCCAAAAUUAAGAGAUUUUUAAGCCAACAGUUGAAAUUGAACUAUGACAAAUAACAAGAGUAAACCAAUUCAAAAAUGGCAGUAACAAAUAUUUUUCGAUGUAAGCUGUUUGUUGGAAAAAUAUCGAGUUUCGGUGAAUAGAAGAGUGGCUA